AGAACGAACGCUGGCGGCAUGCCUAACACAUGCAAGUCGAACGAAGGCUUCGGCCUUAGUGGCGCACGGGUGCGUAACGCGUGGGAAUCUGCCCUUGGGUUCGGAAUAACGUCGGGAAACUGACGCUAAUACCGGAUAAUAUCGCGAGAUCAAAGAUUUAUCGCCUGAGGAUGAGCCCGCGUAGGAUUAGCUAGUUGGUGGGGUAAAGGCCUACCAAGGCGACGAUCCUUAGCUGGUCUGAGAGGAUGAUCAGCCACACUGGGACUGAGACACGGCCCAGACUCCUACGGGAGGCAGCAGUGGGAAUAUUGGACAAUGGGCGAAAGCCUGAUCCAGCAAUGCCGCGUGAGUGAUGAAGGCCUUAGGGUUGUAAAGCUCUUUUACCCGGGAUGAUAAUGACAGUACCGGGAGAAUAAGCCCGGCUAACUCCGUGCCAGCAGCCGC
rnacentral:rRNA from 1 species